ensembl:antisense 1700095B10Rik RIKEN cDNA 1700095B10 gene
AGCAUUCUGGACCUUUUGACGGAAAAGCCAGGAUGGGGAUGGUGAAUUCUCAUAGCAUGGAGUAGUGGACAGUGGGGGUAGCGGUGUCUGGGGUUGAGAAGACCGUGGAGAGAUACACAGAAGUGUCUCCAGCUUCCAGAACAUUCUAUAUCACUAGAGGUGCUCAGGCAAUGUGUCCAUCGAAUCUGGACUUCAGCCACCCUAUGGUACCCUUUACACCAUUCAUCUACCUAAAAGAUCUGUGUGUGUUCUUGGGAAUUUGACAUCAAAAACCACUUCUAAUCCAGAGUUUAUGGUGGAGAGAGGGACCCUACAGGCAGCUCAUGGUUCCUACUCUGCUGGUUCUCUAGCAGCACCCGCGUGUCCUCCAGGUCCCAAGUGAGGUGGUGACACUUCCUCUUCAGCUGCUCUGUCCGGGCCUUCAUCUCUGAGUCCAAUCUCUCCUCGCACUGUUGAAGGCGCUUGCGUAGGAAAUCGUUCUCCAUCUGAGCACAGUCCAAACGCAUCUGCCACUCGUCUGCUGUGUGACAGAGUCGGCAGCUGCCUCCAUUCAGCAGGAGAGAAUCCACAUCAUAGUGGGAACUGGACAAAGAUGUCCCGAUCCCAUCCAACCAUGAAUGCCAAGUCCCUAGGCAGUGGCAUAACCAGUGCACUGAUGCUGCCUGCCUCUCACUGGGCAGUCACUCUGAGAGUCAGCCUCAACUUGAUCAUGUAUGUGAAAGCAUGCAGAGCCCGUAUUCCUCAUGAAGAGGUAGCUGAUGGCUAUGGGUUAGUCUACUCCAUAUGGCCCAGCUCUGCUUGUUCAUCAUCUAGGACCAGCUACACUUGAAUGUGAAGAAUCUGGGGCUCAGGGUGACUUUGAAUAGCAUGGUAUGAUUCAAAUACAGAGGGGAAAUUUAAAAACCUGGACUCCACUGUCAUCUUCAUCAAAUAGAAGAGAAUGUAACACA